rnacentral:rRNA from 1 species
CAAAGGAAUUGACGGGACCCGCACAAGCAGCGGAGCGUGUGGUUUAAUUCGUUGCUACACGAAGAACCUUACCUGGGUUUGACAUAUAGGUUGUAGGGAACUGAAAAGGACCGACCCUCGGGAGCCUAUACAGGUGUUGCAUGGCUGUCGUCAGCUCGCGUCGUGAGAUGUUCGGUUAAGUCCGCUAACGAGCGCAACCCUCGUCGUAUGUUAUAUGUGUCAUACGAGACUGCCGGUAAAAGCCGGAGGAAGGUGAGGAUGAUGUCAAGUCAGCACGACCUUUAUAUCCAGGGCUACACACACGCUACAAUGGUCUGUACAAUGGGUAGCCAAGCCGCGAGGCGGAGCCAAUCCUGAAAGCAGGCCUCAGUUCAGAUUGCAGUCUGCAACUCGACUGCAUGAAGCCGGAGUUGCUAGUAACCGCAGGUCAGCAAUACUGCGGUGAAUACGUUCCCGGGUCUU